rnacentral:rRNA from 1 species
UCAGAACGAACGCUGGCGGCAGGCUUAACACAUGCAAGUCGAGCGCCCCGCAAGGGGAGCGGCAGACGGGUGAGUAACGCGUGGGAAUCUACCCUUUUCUACGGAAUAACGCAGGGAAACUUGUGCUAAUACCGUAUAAGCCCUUCGGGGGAAAGAUUUAUCGGGAAAGGAUGAGCCCGCGUUGGAUUAGCUAGUUGGUGGGGUAAAGGCCUACCAAGGCGACGAUCCAUAGCUGGUCUGAGAGGAUGAUCAGCCACAUUGGGACUGAGACACGGCCCAAACUCCUACGGGAGGCAGCAGUGGGGAAUAUUGGACAAUGGGCGCAAGCCUGAUCCAGCCAUGCCGCGUGAGUGAUGAAGGCCCUAGGGUUGUAAAGCUCUUUCACCGGUGAAGAUAAUGA